AAAUUGAAGAGUUUGAUCAUGGCUCAGAUUGAACGCUGGCGGCAGGCUUAACACAUGCAAGUCGAACGGUAGCAGGAAGAAGCUUGCUUCUUUGCUGACGAGUGGCGGACGGGUGAGUAAUGCU
rnacentral:rRNA from 1 species